rnacentral:rRNA from 1 species
UACGUAGGUCCCGAGCGUUGUCCGGAUUUAUUGGGCGUAAAGCGAGCGCAGGUGGACGCUUAAGUCAGCGGUAAAAUUGCGGGGCUCAACCUCGUCGAGCCGUUGAAACUGGGUGCCUUGAGUGGGCGAGAAGUACGCGGAAUGCGUGGUGUAGCGGUGAAAUGCAUAGAUAUCACGCAGAACUCCGAUUGCGAAGGCAGCGUACCGGCGCCCAACUGACGCUGAAGCACGAAGGCGUGGGUAUCGAACAGG